GUCGCAGUCGUCAAGCAUUGUCAGAGGCAGCCCGCGGUCGUCCGUGUGUGUGGGGGGGUACCACGUCGUCGGAAUUCCUACUGUUUCGAAGUGUUGCCGCCUCCUUCUUGGCACGGUAUUAUUUUGGCCAAUCUGCAUUUGGCGAACUUCACGUGUCGUCGAACUGACUCCGAUCGCCCGAGUAAAACCAUCCAUUCAGUCCUAGGUCAGACUUGACCCAAAGCAGACGGCAUUUGGUGCAACUAAGAUUGUUCAAGAAAGCACCCAAGCAAACGGAUACUCAGCAUCAAGUCGAGUGAGCAAUUGUCGGAGAGACUGGAGUUAGCCGCUCACACUCCGUCCAGUCGUUGUUUUCAGUCGCGGAAUCAUCCGAUCAUCCGUCAUCCAACCUUUUUGUGCGUCUUGAGGACCAGGCAGUCCUCAACGCGAACCCUUGGCACUAAAAAGGACCGACCUUAGUUGGGAUACGUGUAGUCGCAUGAACGACUGAACAUUUGGUUUUCUUGGAUUGUUUUUUCUCCCUUGAUUGUGAACAGUGUGCAUCCAAGUGCUUCUUGCACCCAUGCAGUCGGGAAAAUACCAGAGCAAAAAGUGAUCCAGUCUCGCGUACACCUUGCUGUGUUCCCGUGCCCCUCCAGAUUCCAUGAUGGAGGCGGUUUCAACCAGACACCUCCCACUUCUGACCCUUUGGACCAUCGUUGUUACGUUCUUCGCGGUUUCCGCUCAAGGAGACUGUCCGUCUUCAUUGGGAACGCCACGGAAAGAGGUGGUUUGUUACUUUGAAGGCAAACGACCCGUAUCCUCCCUGGAUCCCUGCUUCUGUACCCAUGUGAUCUAUACCAACAUCGGUCUGGACGAAUACUCUCGCGUUGAGGUCACCCAAGGUAAGUCCAGAGGGAAAUGCUCGAUUGAGAUACCACCUUGGCCUCCUCAAAUAGAGUUAUUGUACGUAGACGAGUCGGUUCUAAGACGACUCGAUAACUGCCAGCUUCUCAGAGAAAAGAGAGCGAGAAAA